AUUGAACGCUGGCGGCAGGCCUAACACAUGCAAGUCGAACGAGUGGCGGACGGGUGAGUAAUGUCUGGGAAACUGCCUGAGGGAGGGGGAUAACUACUGGAAACGGUAGCUAAUACCGCAUACCAUCGGAUGUGCCCAGAUGGGAUUAGCUAGUAGGUGGGGUAAAGGCUCACCUAGGCGACGAUCCCUACCUGGUCUGAGAGGGUGACCAGCCAUAAUGGAACUGGUACACGGUCCAUACUCCUACGGGAGGCAGCAGUGGGGAAUAUUGCACAAUGGGCGCAAGCCUGAUGCAGCCAUGCCGCGUGUAUGAAGAAGGCCUUCGGGUUGUAAAGUACUGUCAGCGGGGAGGCGUUACCCGCAGAAGAAGCACCGGCUAACUCCGUGCCAGCAGCCGCGGUAAUUC
rnacentral:rRNA from 1 species